CUCUCACACCACCAGGCACCACUCUCUUUCUCUCUCAAACCAUCUCUCACACCACCACUCUCUCUCCUCCCGUUCCCGCCCCUGCCUCCGAUUCACCCUCGCUGCACACUGCGAUCUUAAAUUUCACGCAGUUAGGCAGCAAUGGACGAGGAUACUAUCACUUCCAACACGGUUCGCCGUAUGUUGAGCCGAACUCGUAAAGUUGCGACACAAAUGGUCGCUGCACUCAAGCGGCAAUCGAACACAGGGAGCCCUUGCUCGUCUUGAAGCUUUGGAGAAUGACUAUCCAGGAGCAGAGAUGAUUGAGAUCUACAGCGAUGAUGAUGUUUAUCUUGACGGUGAAGACCAAGGAAGGAAAAAUAUGGCUUUCACAACACAUGGAGCUCAAUCACACGAUAAGGCCAAAAAAUGGUUUUGAAAAUUGAUUGGGGUAUCAAGAGAGGAAUCAUAGCUAGCUUGUGUUUAUCCAAGGGACAUCUUUAAGCUGCACCUCAGGUGAAACUAUCAUUAUCACUUUUGAAAUAUAGAAAGACGAUAGUAUGUCUUCUAGAGAUUACAUGUAUAUCCUAUCAAAAACUACAUGAAAUUCAUUAACCGAAUGGGGUUUUUUUUUUGUUUCCUGUGAUUUUUAAAGUUUUAGGGGGACAUGACGAAGAAGGAUUCUGAUUUCAUCGAGUUGCUCGAGGGCGAGCUCAGAAGUUCAAAAGGAUUUUAGUAGAGAAAGAGGAAGAGUACAUCAUCGUCAACGUCAUGCUGCAUUAAAUUUUGGGCCUAGGUACCCAUGGUAUUAUUUAUCUUUAUUGCUAUAGAAACUAUAGAAAUUCUAAUGCUUUUCAGAAUCAUUAGGAGGCUCUCUUUUCUAACAUCCAAUUUUUUUGUAGUUGCCAACUGAUUUGGACGCAAAUAACCAUUAGUCUUUGUGUGAAUAAGUCUUGACUUUUCAGAUCACCCUUUGCUAGGUGGACCCAUCAAUUUGGUUAACACGACUCAUCAACACUUGCCACAUGCGUGGCUCAACCGCGGGUUGAAUAGCUCAUGUGUCCUGUGAUGCUCUCGACUAAUUUUUAACGGUGUCCAAUCGGGGCUCUAAAAGCUCAUCACUCUUGCACUGUUUUGUUUUACAGUUACAUCAUUAGUCGCGGGAUUAAAUGUCAAAUCAUCUACAUAUUCCCUCUGUCGUUUUGAUGAACUUCAGGAGCCUAUGAGUUAUGACUACGAGUAACUCCAAAUCCAUUUCAAUAACAGUUGAAUAUCUGCAACUUUAAAAAAAACAUACUUGCUUUAAAAAAAUAAAAACUAGAACGACAAACACGAGGCAACACAGUUAAAAAUUAUUCCACACACAAGUACCAUGCAAUGGAGAGUAAUAAUUCUUUUUCCUUGACCACUUUAUUCUGUUUGAGUAAUGAUUUAGCAACUAAAGUGAUAUCCCAUCCCUCCUUUUUUUUUCCCAUUUUGCCAUUUCCAAUUUUUUAAGGGGACGCACAUUACUUAUGUUUCCUUUGAAAGGUAGAUUUGAUUUCCAACAUUGCCCCUUAAUCGCAUUGAUCAGUUUGUCACAAAAGUUUAGUUUAUGCAUAUUUAACUUGACCAUCAGGUUUAGCUCUGCCACGAAAUACAUGCACCUGCUGAGUUUGUAAUGGUAAUCUAAUUUUUUACUCUUGUUAUCUCACAAGUUCAGUUUGUGUUUAUGGCCUUUGUUCCGAGCUUGCAUGUUUAUUCGCUGCUCUGUUCGGAGCAUGCAUAAUCAGAUAACUCUGUCACUAUCCACUCCUAUUUCGAUUUGUGGGAACUCUGAGACUUCUAUCCUCUCCCUUAUUUGUGUUUAUGGGUUUUGGCUACAGAUGUUUGGGUUUGAGCAGAUAGGAUUUUGUGUUUAUGAAAUUUUCAGAUCGAGGAUUCAGAUAUUCUGAAGGUAAUUUUCUGAGUUCUUUUUCCAUGAUUUAGGUUGGAUUUGAGUAGUGAUUCGGGUGGAUUUUGUGUCCUUGCUUUAUUCCAGUAGUAUUCGAUUCACCUUCAAAAAAUAAGGUCUGGGAGUUCUCAUAUAAAUUUACUCUCUUUUAUGGAAAAUCAGUCGUCGACUUUAUAGCAAGAAUGAGUGGUUGAGUUGAAGGACCAAAAAUGGUAUAGAAUGUUGCUAAGUCAUGUACUAUAUUGAUUAGCUAUGGGCUUAGUUGACACUUAAUUUUCUCAAGUCUGCCUUUAAUUUCUAAGUGAGUUCCCUGCUUUUGACUUUAUCUUAGUCUAGCUGAUUGCAAUCCGUUAGUGUGAUGUGGAAUAAAUGCAUGUGAUUUCGUUCAGUACGUAUUUCAUGGUUUUGGACAGGUCAAUCCUUUCAAAUUGCUAUGCAGUAUAUGAAUUUCUGUGGCUGCUCAUGUGAAUUUAGUAUGUCUUGCAUGAAGAUAAUAAUGGAAAUGGAAGAGCAAACUUUGGGGUCAGGGGUUAUUCUAUUACAAAAUAAGUUAUGGACUCGGAUAUGAUGCUGCUCCUUCUCUUGAGAGUGACCUCAGGGAGAGAACCAUUCUUGUC